rnacentral:rRNA from 1 species
GACGAACGCUGGCGGCGUGCUUAACACAUGCAAGUCGAACGAAGUUAUCCAGACAGAAGCCUUCGGGUGGAAGAUUGGAUAUACUUAGUGGCGGACGGGUGAGUAACGCGUGAGCAACCUGCCCUGCAAAGGGGGACAACAGUUGGAAACGACUGCUAAUACCGCAUGACACAUCGAGGGGGCAUCCCUUUGAUGUCAAAGAUUUAUCGCUGAAAGAUGGCCUCGCGUCCCAUUAGCUAGUUGGUGAGGUAACGGCCCACCAAGGCGACGAUGGGUAGCCGGACUGAGAGGUUGACCGGCCACAUUGGGACUGAGAUACGGCCCAG